CACAAGGGAAUGAUUCCUUUCUAACCAUUACCUCUUCUGUUCAUUUUCAAGCCCUUGCCUCUUUCCAUUUCUCUAGGUCCAUCCGGCUUUGAUCAAUCAUGUGAUCAUUUCUUUCUAGUUGGUUUUUGUAGCACCUCAGAACACCCUCCAUCCUUUCACCAAAACUGCAGUGUAAUAGGGUCUAGAUCAAGAUAUUGUGAGCCACAGUGUCUAGAUGGUGGCAACAUGAAUGGUGACAAUCUAUUCUGCAUGUGCAGCUGAAGUUCUCACCAGGAGAGAAAGUAGUAUGGCCUUGAAGGAUACGUCUCCUGAAGACUUCAAGAAAGAGAAAGUGGAGGGGGGAAGCGGUGAGAGAGAGAAGAGAAUAUCUGGAUUCUGACACUGUUUUCAGAAGAGGAGGGAACGAGCCCAGGGGAAGCUGUGGUGUCUGCUACACGAGUGCUGGCUGCCCACCCUCCAGAUUCGUGCCUUCUAAGCAUUUCAGAUGAAUGGGAUUCUGCAACAUAGUCUUUUGCAUCUGCCUUGCCUUAUAUAACAUAAUGUUUCUGUGGUUCGUCCAUAUUGUAGUAAAUUGCUGCAAGUUUGAUCACUGGGUUAAGAUGGUGACACAUGGAUCUCUCUAUUAUCAAGGCAUCUUUGUGAAAAUGAACAAAAGAAAGAAAAAAAAAAAACAAAAAAACACAAGUCUUCAUAGGCACAUUUGGAUCCAAAUGGAUAUGUAAAGAGGAACUGAGCGGGAAGGGAACUGUCUAACACCAAAGGCCAGAGCAAGCUCAACAUCACCUCUACCCAGCCACCUCCUAAGACAUAAUUCACUAUACACUCUCAUGUUUUCUCAACCAAAAUGCCAUAUCUAAUUGCCAUAUAUAAGUGGAGUGGAAUGCACAAAUCCUUUGUGAUAGCAGAAACUGAUUAUAUCUGCUUUGGUAUUAGUGUUCAGAGUUACAUUGAAAUAAUACAGUUUUAUUAAAAUUUCCACCUAUUCAGCAGUAUGAGAUUUACUAAUAAAAUAUCUGAUUUGAGUCUAAUAUAUGAG
ensembl:lncRNA